CCUAGUCCCGGUUCUUCGUAACCUCUUUCCUUUUCUUGCGUCGCGACGCAUCGGGCCGGCUGCAGAACUUCCUAAGCCAGCAAACUCAUGACGGGCCACAUCCCCGGGAUCUACAGCCGGAUCUGGCCGACUCAGACAAGGAGGGGUCCAGAGGUGACUUGGAGGAGGAGGAAGGAGACAACACUGAGCUUGCCGAAAACGGUGGGUCCAGCCAAGCCGGUAAGUCAUCGACUCGAGAUCCCUGCGCGACAGGACGGACGAUAAUGAAGAUGACCUGAGUGGUGUGCACGAUGGAGCAAGACUAACCGCGGAGGCAGCUGCCAGCAUCGCCCCGUGGAGGCGAUUGCGGUAGAUGGCUGGAGCCGGACCAUCCAGCGAGCUGACAGGCACCAGGCGGCCGCAUGAGAAGGAUACGGUCAAGCCGCGGCCGGCUGAGAAGCGCCUAGCCGCGACGCAGUUGGGGGUAGAACAAGGAUCGUCAAGAAGACGACCGGCUCCCCUCGUCAGUGGGCCCGAAACAGGAUGUUCCUACGGCCUUCAGGUUAGUGUUCUUCUAUUCUGAUUCGUUUCUCGCUGUCCUUCUAUGUUUGUGUUGUCUUUCUUCCCCCCUCACGCCUGCAGUGCACCACUGGAGUUGUCGGAGACAGCCGCCCCGGACGUGCCUGGAGGCGGAGCCGGCCGGCCAAGCAUUGGGAGUAGCACGUAUGGAGGCGAGCCAACCAGGACCAUCAGGGAAGAGCUUGUGGCCUGGCAGACCGACGUGGAGCCCGAGGAGGCCAAGCACACCGCAUGGAGGGAGCAGGCGGAGGCCGUGAAGGAGGCGGAGGAGGCCUCAGCAGCAGCAUGGAAGGCCGCCACGGGGAUGUGAGGGAGGGCCGCCGAGGACCCCGCGUGGCUGGCGUGGGAGGAGAUCCCACUGCCACCAUCACCGGUUUGGGAGCAUCGCGCAAAAUCUGUGCACGAUCCGGCUCGCCGGGUGGAGGCCAACGCCUAACUUGUCACCGAAGCAGCUGACCGUGGCGAGAUGGGCGACCACUAGCCGGAUGCCAACCAAACCAUCCUCGCGGAGUCCCUGCUGGCUAUCAACCCAUCCGACGGGGCCGAGCGCGAGGACGACUGAUGCCGCAAGCCGGAGACCACGCCAAUAUGCGGCUGAGCGCCACCGCCGAAUGCGGAGGACAUGACUGCAGGCUCCAGCGCCAUGGUGGUCAUCGGGACACAGACAACAGGGGCCAGCCUCAAAUCGAGGCCGGAUGGGAGUGGGACCAACGCUGGGUCCUCAGCUCGGGUGCAGCGGAGCUGGGCGAAUGCUGGCUAGGUCAUGAGCGAGGCACGCACCGAUGACCUAGAUGCGGCGAUGAAUGCCGUGGAUCUGCGGUUUGCCGACAACAGCAGCCACCUAAAGAGCUUUGUCCAGGCGGAGCAGGGCCAAAUGCAGCAGCUCGUGAAGAUCGUCGCGGUAAGUCCUUUGUCUUCUAUUUUUUCUACGGCUUGCUUUUUCCCUUUCCUUCUUCUCGAACGUCUUGGUCGCUCUCCGAUGGGGGCACAUCAUCGCACCUAGUUGGUGUAGCCCUCGAGGCUAGGGGGGCUACGCAAUAGGCGGGUCGGGCAUUCACCUGGGUUUCCUCUUCUUAACUUUCUUCCUCGCACACCAUCUACGACUUGAGGGUGGACGUGUACAUCCGUCUUCUAGGCCGGUACCGCGAGGCCAAGACCCGGCUCGCCGCCAAGAAGAAGAAGCUACGCCAAGCCCAAGCCACUGCCGCCAAAGUGCCAGACCUCCGAAGCUGAUUGUACCGGGCCGGCCGGCGACAUGACCAUGUUGUCGCGGAGCGCGACCAUUUCCAAGUGGAGGUGAGCCGUCCAGCGGCCGAGAGGGACCAGUCCGGUGGGCGCCCAUCUGGUCGAGUUGGGCGGGCUUGCGAAGGAGCACCGCAAGGCGAUGGCUCGAAAGGAUGAGCAGUUGGCGAAGGCCACAGAGGAGGUUGCCUAGCUCAAGGAAGGUCAUGCAAGACACGCCAGCGCGUGGUUCCUGAAGGAUCAUGGGAUGCUGGCGGAGGUGCAGCACGUCGACGAGCUCCUCACCUGGGUCAUCCCCGAGACGCAUGCGCCAGCCGAGGCGGCCUUGAACACCUACCGGGCUGAAGAAAGGGCGGAGGUGAUGAGGCAUGGACUAGUGAGAUGUUAAUUCAUGUGUGUAGAUGGCCCGAUCUUUCACGAUGAUGCUAGAUGACUAAUUCUUCCCCUUGUUCCUCCUCGCGGCCUUCAAUAUAUAUAUCUGUACCUGUGCAUUAUCA